GGGAGCUGGCCCCGCGCGACCACCUAACCACGACCCUCCCUCUCCCUCCGCCGCCCGGCUCAUUGCAGAGCGUUGCAAAGUUGGCGCGGGUGCUGGGGAAGUCCCGCCGCGCCCCCACGUGGCUGCCGCGCGGGGAGCUGUCCCCAGGGCCCAGGGAGGGCAGGUGACCACGCCGUGAGCCCGCAAGCCCCGUCUCCAGCUACCCCGGCCUCUGCGUCUGCCUCCCUCCCUUUCCAGGUCCGGGCGAACUGCGGCGCUCCGCCGGGACCCUCUGGUCCCUGGACCCGGCCGGGUGGCCUGCGAGUCUCGGCGCCUGUGUCUGGCGACCCGGGCCCUGCGGGAGCCGGUUGAGGCGAGAGCUCAGGUAGCUGAGGGGCCUGAUCCCUGCGCUCAGCGCUCCUGCCUUAAUCCGCCCCUGUUUCCAUGGCAACAGACCGAGGUGUCGUAAGCACAGGAUUCUGACCUCACAGUAGGAUAGGGAAGGAGAAAACGGGCAGGGGGAGGUGGCGGAGGAAUGGGAAGCGAAGCCUCAAGAUGGGCGGAGAGGAGCAGGCGUGGGGGUCAUGGAGGAGACCCCACUAGCAGGUGGGACAGCAAGCUGGGUCCUGUCUUCUGGCAGGACAUUUUAGGAAUUGCGUGCGCUGCCUUGCAUCCCUUCAGGAAAGGACUCUACUGGCCACAGCCCCACCUCUGUGAACCAGAACAGCCCGAGUCGUCAGUGGAUCCUGCUGCUGACAGUGCUAGUAGCUGAAGGCUUCAGCUGCUGCCUGCCCUCUUUUCCAUCUCCUGGCCUACCCUGGCAGAACCAGGGAUAUAAAAAGCAAGCCUCUGGUCAGAGAUGAGAGGCAGGCAGAGCAAGCCAGGCCCCGAGCCACCCAGCACCAUCCAGGAAGAAAGAGCAGCCCUGUUGGGGGUUUUGCUUUGCCAGAAGUGGCCUGCUUAAGGUCAGGAUCUAUGGUUUUCAUUUUUAGAGCUAUAAAAACAGAAUGCAAAUCAACAGCCUCUGGGCUAAUAAAGAACCUGUCCUUAAA